CAAGAAGCCGAAAGGCUACUUAAAACCAUCGCGAACUUAUCCAAGUUGCUUCGGCGGCGCGGCUCCCCUCACGGGGGACCGCAGCCCCCGCCUCUCAGGAGGUAAGGGGCAGCCGCCGGAGGUACGAAACUCUGUAUUAUAGUAGGUAUCUCUGAGUAUAAAACAAAUAAGUUA
rnacentral:misc_RNA from 1 species